CACACGGUGCUGAUGGGAAACUACUGCGUUGCUGGGUGGACACAUAAGUAAAUAACGAACGUUCAUUACCAACAACCGAAGACAGAGCAACAUUGCCCAUUAGGCUACUGAGUAUAGUAUUUGAGCCUCCUCUGCAGAUUUUUCUUUCCCUGCAUACACUGAAGCUUUGCCAAGGAUUGAAAUGAAAAUUAUUCCAGCUGCAUUUAUCCCAAAAUUGCCCAGUGCAGCCUCUGCCUCAGCUAGUGUGCCCCAUUCAUUUAUAAUUCAACAUGGUGCCAGCGCACCAUGCUUCCACUACGGACCAUGAGGGCAGACAUUGGAUGGAGAAAGGUAAUUUCAUGACAGAGGUGAACUCAUGCAGCCUGGACACGAACGUGAGCUGUUGCAAACAUAUGCAGACAUACAGACCCGCUCAGAGACUCUGCAAUACAGAUCUGAUGGGUUAAAGGAAAGAAAAGAAAAUUUGAGAGCCCAGGACAUCUAGCAGAUAUACCAUACUUAUGGAAUAGGUAAGGCAAAGACAGAGGAGGACGUUAAUCCCUUCAGAUAAUUUCUUGGAAUGUCAAGUAACUCAAAUUCUCUUUCUGAAUUAGGUCAUUAAAUGAGCACACUUGGUUUGAUAGCAAUUUCUCACGUGUGUUUCUUAUUAAAAAAAAAUUAGCGUCUAUUUUUAGAGAUCUUGGGUCUCAUUGGUAUCCCUAUGGCCGGACUAAAUUGUUAGCGUGAAAUGCACAUUGACCUGCCGUUUGAAAUGCGGAUGUGUGCCGUUACCCGGUUUAGAAGAAAAUUCUCGGAUCUAUCCUCCUGCCCACCCUCCGCUAACCACUGCUCCCAAGAGUAAAGCAAACUACUGUACUCCACGAAUUCAGGAAAUAGAUUACUUAAUGGAGUUCAUGAUGUCUGCUUCGACAUUUGGAAACUGAAACUCCCUGAUUUGUUUCCAACUCUAAGGUCGAAAUCUGGACUUUGCCAGGCACAGUGAGACAUAGGCAGGGUCUGCAUCUAUGUGAAUAAUUACACUCAGCAGCUACGCAGACGCGUCCUAUCCUUGCUCCUGUUCUCAGCAGCAACUGUGUCCCUUAUGAACCACCUCCCUGCCGCAACCUCCUUCCAAGAGCCUGCACGGAAGUGUUAAAUGUAUUCUCUUCCCUCUGAAGGUUUGAUGAUUGCCAUCUAUAAAAUAAACUGACAAUGGACAGACAAUGGGGAAGGAACAUAGCUCACGCCUGACAAGCACGGAGCUAGAUAAUGAGGAGGCUCAAAGGACAGAGCCAGCUGGAGCCUCCAGGAAGCUGAAUGCAGGGAAGGGGCCGGGCUUUGGUGAAGAGGGGAGGUGGGAGACUGGGGGCCAGGGAAGGGGGUGCACGGGCAGCCAGAGCUGUCUUGUGACACAGCCAAAGUCACCCAGGUCAAGCCCACAGCACUUUCCAGAGCGGCUCCCGCAUUUGCAGAGGUCUGCAGCUUCUCUGGACGUUGGACUCAGCAACGCCAUAGAAAUCCAUCCAGGCUCGUUGCAGCCCAAGGGCAGAGCGCCUGUCCAGCCUGUGUCCAAGUCCUGAUACCGUCCUGAGCGCCCGUCCAGCCCGUGUGGAGCCUUGGGUCCAAGUCCUGAUACUGAAGCAAAGAGAGAACAGAAAAGGAACUAAUUUACCACACCCCAAAGGACACAGCCAGCACUCCUUGUGUGUGAGUUCUGCCUCUUGCCAUUGCUCCCUGAAGAACACGGCAAACCAGCUCUCACACGGCAAGUGCAUUGUAUUAUGUCCUGGACCGUCCAGCAGUUCAAAGUGUAACAGGAGGAAGAGUGCGGGUUCUACGCAAAUACCACACAAUUUUGGCUAUGUCGUGCCACCAUGAACGCUUGCCCUCUGCUAUGUGCCACUCUGCCUUGGAACAAGCCUAGUAUGGACCGAAACC